GAGGAAGGCCUUCGGGUCGGAAAGUUCUUUUCUCUGGAAGAAAGUGCCGAGCUUAAUGCGCACAACAAUUGACGUAACUCUGAGAACAACCCCCGGAUAACACCGUGCCAGCAGCCGCGGUAAUAA
rnacentral:rRNA from 1 species